CCUACGGGAGGCAGCAGUGAGGAAUAUUGGUCAAUGGCCGUAAGGCUGAACCAGCCAAGUCGCGUGAAGGAAGAAGGAUCUAUGGUUUGUAAACUUCUUUUAUAGGGGAAUAAAGGUAUCCACGUGUGGAUAUUUGCAUGUACCCUAUGAAUAAGCAUCGGCUAACUCCGUGCCAGCAGCCGCGGUAAUACUGAGGAUGCGAGCGUUAUCCGGAUUUAUUGGGUUUAAAGGGUGCGUAGGUUGUUUUUUAAGUCAGCGGUGAAAGUUUGUGGCUCAACCAUAAAAUUGCCGUUGAAACUGGAAGACUUGAGUGUGUUUGAGGUAGGCGGAAUGCGUGGUGUAGCGGUGAAAUGCAUAGAUAUCACGCAGAACUCCGAUUGCGAAGGCAGCUUACUAAGCCAUAACUGACACUGAAGCACGAAAGCGUGGGUAUCAAACAGGAUUAGAUACCCGUGUAGUC
rnacentral:rRNA from 1 species